GUAGUCCUGGCCAAGUGGUUAAGGCUACAGACUUGAAAUCCAUUGGGAUAUUCUCGCGCAGGUUCAAAUCCUGCCGACCACG